rnacentral:rRNA from 1 species
GAACGCUGGCGGUAUGCUUAACACAUGCAAGUCGAACGGUAACAGGCCCAGCUUGCUGGGUGCUGACGAGUGGCGGACGGGUGAGUAACGCGUAGGAAUCUAUCUUGUAGUGGGGGAUAACUUGGGGAAACUCAAGCUAAUACCGCAUAAGCCUUAAGAGGGAAAGCGGGGGAUCUUCGGACCUCGUGCUAUAAGCUGAGCCUGCGUCAGAUUAGCUUGUUGGUGGGGUAAAGGCCUACCAAGGCGAUGAUCUGUAGCUGUUCUGAGAGGAAGAUCAGCCACACUGGGACUGAGACACGGCCCAGACUCCUACGGGAGGCAGCAGUGGGGAAUAUUGGACAAUGGGCGCAAGCCUGAUCCAGCAAUACCGCGUGUGUGAAGAAGGCCUGCGGGUUGUAAAGCACUUUCAGUAGGGAGGAAGGCUCAAUGUUUAAUAUGCAUUGGGAUUGACGUUACCUACAGAAGAAGCACCGGCUAACUCUGUG